GCCCGGUUAGCUCAGUUGGUUAGAGUACUUCCUUGACAUGGAAGGGGUCAGAGGUUCAAAUCCUCUAUCGGGCA
rnacentral:tRNA from 1 species